rnacentral:rRNA from 1 species
AGAGUUUGAUCCUGGCUCAGAACGAACGCUGGCGGCAUGCCUAACACAUGCAAGUCGAACGCAGGGCUUCGGCCCUGAGUGGCGCACGGGUGAGUAGCGCGUGGGAACCUGCCCUUCAGUGGGGGAUAACCGAGGGAAACUUCGGCUAAUACCGCAUACGCCCGGAGCAAUCCGGGGAAAGAUUUAUCGCUGAUGGAGGGGCCCGCGUCGGAUUAGCUAGUUGGUGGGGUAACGGCCCACCAAGGCGAUGAUCCGUAGCUGGUCUGAGAGGAUGAUCAGCCACACUGGGACUGAGACACGGCCCAGACUCCUACGGGAGGCAGCAGUGGGGAAUAUUGGACAAUGGGCGAAAGCCUGAUCCAGCAAUGCCGCGUGAGUGAGGAAGGCCUUAGGGUUGUAAAGCUCUUUCGGCGGGGACGAUGAUGACGGUACCCGCAGAAGAAGCCCCGGCUAACUUCGUGCCAGCAGCCGCGGUAAUACGAAGGGGGCGAGCGUUGUUCGGAUUUACUGGGCGUAAAGGGCGCGCAGGCGGCCGUUUUUGUCGAGUGUGAAAGCCCCGGGCUCAACCUGGGAACUGCGCUCGAAACGGGACGGCUAGAGUUCGGGAGAGGAGAGUGGAAUUCCCAGUGUAGAGGUGAAAUUCGUAGAUAUUGGGAAGAACACCGGUGGCGAAGGCGGCUCUCUGGACCGACACUGACGCUGAGGCGCGAAAGCGUGGGGAGCAAACAGGAUUAGAUACCCUAGUAGUCC